rnacentral:rRNA from 1 species
CAGUCGCCACGGUAAUACGUAGGUGGCGAGCGUUGUCCGGAAUCAUUGGGCGUAAAGGGAGCGCAGGCGGGCAUGUAAGUCUUUCUUAAAAGUUCGGGGCUCAACCCCGUGAUGGGAAAGAAACUACAUGUCUUGAGUACAGGAGAGGAAAGCGGAAUUCCCAGUGUAGCGGUGAAAUGCGUAGAUAUUGGGAGGAACACCAGUGGCGAAGGCGGCUUUCUGGACUGCAACUGACGCUGAGGCUCGAAAGCCAGGGGAGCGAACGGGAUUAGAUACCCCCGUAGUCCCUGUCUCUUAUACA